rnacentral:rRNA from 1 species
UAAUACGGAGGGUGCAAGCGUUAUCCGGAUUCACUGGGUUUAAAGGGUGCGUACGUGGGUUUGUAAGUCAGUGGUGAAAUCUCCAGGCUUAACCUGGAAACUGCCAUUGAUACUACAGGUCUUGAAUUAUCUGGAGGUCAGCGGAAUAUGUCAUGUAGCGGUGAAAUGCUUAGAUAUGACAUAGAACACCAAUUGCGAAGGCAGCUGGCUACAGGUUGAUUGACACUGAGGCACGAAAGCGUGGGGAUCAAACAGGAUUAGAUACCCUGGUAGUCCACGCCCUAAACGAUGGAUACUCGACAUACGCGAUACACAGUGUGUGUCUGAGCGAAAGCAUUAAGUAUCCCACCUGGGAAGUACGAUCGCAAGAUU